rnacentral:rRNA from 1 species
GUCUACAGCCAUGCCACCCUGAAUGUGCCCGAUCUUGUCUGAUCUUGGAAGCUAAGCAGAGUCGGGCUUAGUAAGUACUUGGAUGAGAGCCCACCUAGUAAUAUCAGGUGCUGUGGGCG